rnacentral:rRNA from 1 species
GCGGAGGAAAAGAAACCAACAGGGAUUGCCUCAGUAACGGCGAGUGAAGCGGCAGCAGCUCAAAUUUGAAAUCUGGCGCCUCUAGCGUCCGAGUUGUAAUUUGCAGAGGAUGCUUCGGUGCGGGUGCCGCUCCAGGUUCCUUGGAACAGGACGCCAGUGAGGGUGAGAGCCCCGUCUCUGGGCGGAUGCCAGCACCGUGUGAAGCACCUUCGACGAGUCGAGUUGUUUGGGAAUGCAGCUCUAAACGGGAGGUAAAUUUCUUCCAAGGCUAAAUACCGGCUGGAGACCGAUAGCGCACAAGUAGAGUGAUCGAAAGAUGAAAAGUACUUUGGAAAGAGAGUCAAACAGCGCGUGAAAUUGUUGAAAGGGAAGCGCUUGCAGUCAGACUUCGCUGCCCGGUUCGGCCGCGCCUCGCGUGCGGUCUACGUCGUGGCAGGGAGGCCAGCAUGGGUUGGAGCGGCGGGAGAAAGGCUGUGGGAACGUAGCUCCUCGGAGUGUUAUAGCCCGCGGCACAAUACCGCCCGCCCCGACCCAGGAUCGCGCUUCGGCUUGGAUGCUGGCGUAAUGGCUGUAAGCGGCCCGUCUUGAAACACGGACCAAGGAGUCUAACAUCUAUGCGAGUGUUUGGGUGUCAAGCCCUGACGCGCAAUGAAAGUGAACGGAGGUGGGAGCUUCGGCGCACCAUCGACCGAUCCUGAUGUCUUCGGAAGGAUUUGAGUAUGAGCAUAGCUGUUGGGACCCGAAAGAUGGUGAACUAUGCCUAAACAGGGUGAAGCCAGAGGAAACUCUGGUGGAGGCUCGCAGCGGUUCUGACGUGCAAAUCGAUCGUCAAAUUUGGGUAUAGGGGCGAAAGACUAAUC